CACGGGGGGAGCAAGCGUUGUUCGGAAUCACUGGGCGUAAAGCGCACGUAGGCGGAUGUGUCAGUCAGGGGUGAAAUCCCGGGGCUCAACCUCGGAACUGCCUUUGAUACAGCACGUCUCGAGUCCGGAAGAGGUGGGUGGAAUUCCUAGUGUAGAGGUAAAAUUCGUAGAUAUUAGGAAGAACACCGGUGGCGAAGGCGGCCCACUGGUCCGGUACUGACGCUGAGGUGCGAAAGCGUGGGGAGCAAACAGG
rnacentral:rRNA from 1 species